rnacentral:rRNA from 1 species
CAGAGUCUCCUGAAGGAACGUUAAAGACGAUGACGUUGAUAGGCCGGGUGUGUAAGCGCAGCGAUGCGUUGAGCUAACCGGUACUAAUGAACCGUGAGGCUUAACCUU